AACAGGGAGUCCGCCGACCACCCUUUAAGAAACACUGAUCUAAACUAAGCCAACCUGCAAAAAGAAGAAGAAACGAGAGCAAAAUAGGGAGUCUUUACAGAGCCUCUCCCCCUACUACUACUUGUACCAAUAGAGCUCGUCUGUGUUUCCAGCGACGUAAGAAGAUUUGACAGAUGUUAUCCGAUUAAUGAGAUGUGGGAGUGAGAUCCCCAAUUUCAGAGGUUGGCUGCAGGAAGCUCAGAGGGAGAAGACAUGUUGACUCCCGUCCAAUGAGCCUAUUUUAAUUAUUUAGGGAUGAUGACUAAGAUAAGAUGAAUUUGUUAUGGUACAUACCCUGAUUGGAACAUGAAGGGUAUCUAUUAAAUAGUAUACAUAUGUCAGUGUUGUUCUUUUGUAGAUACAGUAUUGUGCAUUAUACUCUCAUGAGUAUAAUUUUUAGGGUAAAUUUAUUUAUUGAGAUAUUUAUUUAUACUUUAACUGUUUGUAUUUCAUUAUGGCAAGAGAUGUUGAAAUCAGUUUUAUAAAACAUGUGGUAUUAUUGUCUGUGUACAAUGUGCACAUGCUUACUGUUCAUUAAUUGAUUUUUUAUCAUAAAAUGGAAGGAGUUGAGACAGUUUAUAUAAAGAAGGAGACAGAGGAGGAGGAGGAGGAGGAAGAGGAAGGCUUUAAUGAACCUGAUGUGGCUACAGAGGAGCUGUUAAUUAAGCCAGUGGUGUUGUUCAGUACUGAAAAGUUCAUGUGUGAGGUUUGUGGAAAAGGAUUUCCGUAUAAAUCUGGUCUGCAUCACCACAUGGCUGUGCAUACGUGUGAGAAAACUCACAUAUGUGAAGAGUGUGGCAAAGCAUUUUCAAAGAAGUCCAAUCUUAUCCAGCACAUGGCCAUUCACACUGGGGAGAAGAAUUACAGUUGUACUAUCUGCGCUAAACCCUUCUCUCAGAAGUCUCACUUAGUGAGACAUGAUUGUGCAUACAAGAGAGAGGUUUGAGUGUGAGCUUUGUGGACGAGGAUUUUCCCUCAAGUCAAGUUUAGUUAGGCAUAAGGUCAUACAUAGUGGCCAGAAAAACUUCAGCUGUAUUGUUUGUGGUAAAGAAUUCUAUCAAAAACCACAUUUGAGCAGGCAUAUGGUGAUUCAUACAGGAGAGAAAAAUUACAAGUGUGAAUUGUGUGGUAAGCAGUUUUCUCAGAAAUCACAUUUGACAGAACAUAAUGUUGUACAUACCAAAGAAAAGAAUUAUGUCUGCCCUGUUUGUGGUAGGCAGUUUGGCCAUAGAGGAGAAGUAACAAGACACUUGGGCAUUCACUCACGGGACCGGCAUUCGUUUACUUGUAAUCAGUGUGGAAAAGUGUUUAAAUGUAAGUCUAGCUUGGCCAAACACAUAGAGCAUCAUCAAAUUAGUGAGCUAGAGGAGAAUGAUGAAAGGGAAUAUGAUUCAGAUAGUAUCCAUUCUUCAUCUAAAGAAGGUUUUAUGUCAUUGCUUAAAGAUGAGAGUCAGGGUGAAUCUUUGUUAUCAAGGAAAAAUGACUUUAAAAAUUUUCCGUGUGUGCUUAAAUCAAGUCCACCUAGAAGUGAAGCCCUUAAUCUUGUAAAAAGAGAAGCAGAUAUGGAUUGUUCUUGAGGAAAAAUAAACGAAUGUGCAGUUUGACUGCUUGUUAUAAAUAAUUUUGAGAUCGUCGAGUGAAAUUUCUGGACUGGCAAGGGGUGAUUGUAAGAUUUUCUUAUAAAAUCUGAGUGAAGUACGUAAAGUAAAGAAAUGAACAGCCAAGUAGGAAGAGGCUGAAGGUAAUGGAUGAAAGUAAAAGAACCUUCAGUGCCAUAUACACUGUCAUGCAAGGCAUCAUUUAGUGGUAUGCCCCUACUGGGUUAUUUCUCGACUGCUCACCAUUAAUCCCAUUGAACUUUUGUCAGUAGAUUUGAUGUCAGCAAUGCAUUUUUCUCUCUAAUAAAGAUUUGUGUAUUAUCAAAGUGAUUUUGAUGUGGUUUGUGUUGUGUUGAUUAAUAUGCAGUAGUAGCACAGUACCAUA